UACCAGCACCCCGAGUGGUCGGGACGAUUAUUGGGCCUAAAGCAUCCGUAGCCGGUUCUGCAAGUCCCCCGUUAAAUCCAGCUGCUCAACAGAUGGGCCGCGGAGGAUACUACAGAGCUAGGAGGCAGGAGAGGCAAGCGGUACUCAGUGGGUAGGGGUAAAAUCCGUUGAUCCAUUGAAGACCACCAGUGGCGAAGGCGGCUUGCCAGAAUGCGCUCGACGGUGAGGGAUGAAAGCCGGGGGAGCAAACCGG
rnacentral:rRNA from 1 species